AGUGAACGCUGGCGGUAGGCCUAACACAUGCAAGUCGAACGGCAGCACAGUAAGAGCUUGCUCUUACGGGUGGCGAGUGGCGGACGGGUGAGGAAUACAUCGGAAUCUACUUUUUCGUGGGGGACAACGUAGGGAAACUUACGCUAAUACCGCAUACGACCUACGGGUGAAAGCAGGGGAUCUUCGGACCUUGCGCGAUUGAAUGAGCCGAUGUCGGAUUAGCUAGUUGGCGGGGUAAAGGCCCACCAAGGCGACGAUCCGUAGCUGGUCUGAGAGGAUGAUCAGCCACACUGGAACUGAGACACGGUCCAGACUCCUACGGGAGGCAGCAGUGGGGAAUAUUGGACAAUGGGCGCAAGCCUGAUCCAGCCAUACCGCGUGGGUGAAGAAGGCCUUCGGGUUGUAAAGCCCUUUUGUUGGGAAAGAAAAGCAGCAGGUUAAUACCCCGCUGUUCUGACGGUACCCAAGGAAUAAGCACCGGCUAACUUCGUG
rnacentral:rRNA from 1 species